rnacentral:rRNA from 1 species
AUGAACGCUGACAGAAUGCUUAACACAUGCAAGUCAACUUGAACUUCGGUUUGGGUGGCGGACGGGUGAGUAACGCGUAAAGAACUUGCCUCACAGCUAGGGACAACAUUUGGAAACGAAUGCUAAUACCUGAUAUUAUGAUUUUAGGGCAUCCUAGAAUUAUGAAAGCUAUAUGCGCUGUGAGAGAGCUUUGCGUCCCAUUAGCUAGUUGGAGAGGUAACGGCUCACCAAGGCGAUGAUGGGUAGCCGGCCUGAGAGGGUGAACGGCCACAAGGGGACUGGGACACGGCCCUUACUCCUACGGGAGGCAGCAGUGGGGAAUAUUGGACAAUGGACCAAGAGUCUGAUCCAGCAAUUCUGUGUGCACGAUGAAGUUUUUCGGAAUGUAAAGUGCUUUCAGUUGGGAAGAAAAAAAUGACGGUACCAACAGAAGAAGUGACGGCUAACUACGUG